GAACCGUGCGAACGUUGUUCGGAUUCACUGGGCUUAAAGGGCGCGUAGGCGGGCCACCAAGUCGGGGGUGAAAUCCCUCAGCUCAACUGAGGAACUGCCUUCGAUACUGGGGGCCUCGAGGGAGGUAGGGGCGGCCGGAACUUCCGGUGGAGCGGUGAAAUGCGUAGAUAUCGGAAGGAACGCCGGUGGCGAAAGCGGGCCGCUGGACCUCUGCUGACGCUGAGGCGCGAAAGCCAGGGGAGCAAACGGGAUUAGAUACCCCGGUAGUCCUGGCCCUAAACGAUGGGUACUAGGUAGUGGGCUUGCAUGGGCUCACUGCCGGAGCAAAAGUGCUAAGUACCCCGCCUGGGGAGUAUGGUCGCAAGGCUGAA
rnacentral:rRNA from 1 species